ACCUAUUGCCUUUGGCGAUUAAUCAAGACGAUUCGGUAAUUCACUCUUCCUUCUUUUCUCAACUCUCAUUUCUAUGCCGCUGAUAUUAGGUCUUGGGUUUUCCUUUACAACACUGUACUUAGUUGAAGAGAAACCUUGGAUAUUGAACGUGCUUCAGUUUUGCUAUUAGUAAAUCUGACCAGAUUUUGCCCUUGUUCAAGUAGUUCUUCAAAUUGGUCAAAUUAAUGCUUGUUGAUUUACACUGUAACUCUGGGAGAAUCAAUGGUUGCUCAUUUCCUUUUGCGACUGAGCUUUUGUGAAUUUGUUCUGCUUCAUAUACCAGCCCAUAUCAGUGCUGGUCUUGCAAGCCUUACAACACUUGCUUAAACUUGUUCUGAUGGUUGAACCGAAUGCAUCUUGUCGGUAUUCAAAAGAUGGGGCUUGCUUGCUUCUCGUAAAGUGAACUAUAAAUUAAGUACUGUAAUGUUUACAAUGUUUAUUAUGUUGCAUUUCAAUCAUUGCUAUACAGGUUCUGCUGGGUUUUGGACAUUACAUACAUUUGGUUCUUUAUUCAUGGUUUAUCAGAAUCUAUUGCAGUUUCGAUCCUUGUGGGGUGCAGUUAGCAAGAAAUAAAACAUGGGAUACUUGUUCAUAUGUCGCCAUGUCGGACAAGAAAACAGAUACUGCAUCUGAAGAGGCUAUGCUUUACUACUAGUCUUAUGAAUUUCAUUGAUAUUAGUUGUUUCUGUUAGUUGAUUUUUGGUCAGAAUUAUAGAGCUUGCAUUUUUGUUAGUUACUUGGUUUUUCGGUUUGAUGAGUUGAUGCGGAUGAUAAAUUUGUAUAAUUAUUUUAUUGAAGAGUUUUAGCAGCUUGUAAUAGAUCCAAUUGUGAAAAAUGAGGGUUUCUUAGGGUUAAUAAAUCUUGCAGACCAAAUCCUUUUCCGACAAAAAACAUUUUUGUGCAUGAGACCUAAGUACCUAACAAUUUGAAUUCUUUUAAUCUAUGCCUUGGCUCUGGAAUCAAUUAGUUUGUAGCUCUCAAAGACCAUCCUUUAUACCUUUAUUCGUGGGGUAGAUUGGUAAAUUAGAUCGGCAUCCCUAUUCUCCUAUGGUUUUGGAUUUUGGAUUGUGAAGAUCUACCGUAUUCCAUUUUUAUUAUAGUCUUUUGAAUGAGCUAUGAGUUCAGUUGAAGUACAAAUCAAUAAAUGAUGCUAUAGUUGCUAAACCAACAUUAUUUGGAUCAAUCUAGAGUUACAAUAUAGCAGAGUCAGGGUAUAGGAAUGACUUGCUCAACUUGUUUAUCAUAAGUCUAAGUCUGUCUUUAGAUGGUAUGAGGAGACUGAUCCUAAUACAGGGACAGACUGAAUACUUUGUGCUGAGAUUUACAUUCAUGGAUGUGCAAACUCAAAAUUUUAGGUUUUCUCUUGUAUCCUACAUGUACACUCGUGCAUAAAUGUCUGAUAUGCACCUAGGAUUUGUGUCCUGGUUUCACCAAUUAAGUAAGCUCGACAGUUUCUUGCUUUCUCACUUAUUUGUGUCAAUCACAGAAUGGGCUGCAAAGCAAGUUCGAUAUACAUUAAUACAAAGAAAUUUGGUUCUUUUCACAAACAUUGCAUGAAGGAAUGGUAACAGUUCUCAGUUGUUUGGCUCUUAAGAGCAACUGUGAUGAGAAGUGUGUACGGCAGAAGGUUGUUUUCAGUAUGUGCAUGGAGUCUCAGAGCAUAAAAACCAAGUCAAUGGGAAGCAUCAAUUACCACGUGCAAAGGCUUAGCAGGGGAAGGAAAUAGUUUGUCUUGUUGAGAAUAGCUUAAUUUUAAUGCUUCAUUCUUUGGAGUCAUCGAGUGGCAGAUGGAAGGUAGGAAAACACUGCUCUAUUGUUGCACUUUAGAAUUUCAGAUAAUACUCUAUUUUGAUGUCAGUGCCUAAGCUUUGAGAAAUUAUGGAUAUAUUGUUUUGAACAAUUCUUCUGUAGUUCAAUGAUAUUUUCAAUUAAAUUUGUAAUAAUGUAAACCAGUCAGAGGUUUAAGUUUGAUUUUAAUGGUCACUUGAACUCUCAGUCCUCUAUUUUAAAUAACAUAAUAUCUGUAAGAGGGUGUUUAGAGA